rnacentral:rRNA from 1 species
AGUGAACGCUGGCGGUAGGCCUAACACAUGCAAGUCGAACGGCAGCACAGUAAGAGCUUGCUCUUACGGGUGGCGAGUGGCGGACGGGUGAGGAAUACAUCGGAAUCUACUUUUUCGUGGGGGAUAACGUAGGGAAACUUACGCUAAUACCGCAUACGACCUACGGGUGAAAGCAGGGGAUCUUCGGACCUUUCGCGAUUGAAUGAGCCGAUGUCGAAUUAGCUAGUUGGCGGGGUACAGGCCCACCAAGGCGACGAUCCGUAGCUGGUCUGAGAGGAUGAUGAGCCACACUGGAACUGAGAAACGGUCCAGACUGCUACGGGAAGCAGCAGUGGGGAAUAUUGGACAAUGGGCGCAAGCAUGAUCCAGCCAUACCGCGUAGGUGAAGAAGGCAUUCGGGUUUUAAAACCCUUUUGUUGGGAAAGAAAAGCAGCAGGUUAAUACCCCGCUGUUCUGACGGUAACCAAAGAAUAAGCACCGGAUAACUUAGUG